CGGUACCAAUUACACUGUGACUGACAGGCAUUUUCUGAAGUCAGCAGAGGCCAGGCCCUCUCAUCCAAUGAGGCUCUUGGCAUACAAUGAAGAACAACUGAGAAUUACUGAAGUAUACUUGAGUCUUCACAUAGGAUAUUCAGCUUGACACCUAGACCUGUGCGGGAAGAGGAAAUGGAAAUGCUGCCUCCAUAAGAUUGGCCUGCGGGGAAGUCUGUGGCGUGUGGUCUUGAUUAAUGGAGGACCCAGAUCACUGUGUGGGGGGCUAUCCUUUGGAUAGGUUUUCCUGGCUUGUAUAAGAAAGCAAGCCUUCCUCUACAGCUUCUGCUUCAGUUCCUGCCUCCAAGUUCCCACCUUGCUUGAGUUUCUGUCCUGGCUUCCUCCAGUGAUGGACUGUUGUUACCUAAAAGUGUAAGAUGAAAUAAAUCCUUCCCUCCCC
ensembl:lincRNA Gm13376 predicted gene 13376